rnacentral:rRNA from 1 species
GAUGAACGCUAGCUACAGGCUUAACACAUGCAAGUCGAGGGGCAGCAUAACGAAAGCUUGCUUUUGUUGAUGGCGACCGGCGCACGGGUGAGUAACGCGUAUCCAACCUUCCCUAUAGUAGAGGAUAGCCCGGCGAAAGUCGGAUUAAUACUCUAUGUUAUUCAAUGCGGACAUCUAAGUUGAAUCAAAGGUUUACCGCUCAAGGAUGGGGAUGCGUCUGAUUAGGUUGUUGGCGGGGUAACGGCCCACCAAGCCCACGAUCAGUAGGGGUUCUGAGAGGAAGGUCCCCCACAUUGGAACUGAGACACGGUCCAAACUCCUACGGGAGGCAGCAGUGAGGAAUAUUGGUCAAUGGACGGAAGUCUGAACCAGCCAAGUAGCGUGCAGGAUGACGGCCCUAUGGGUUGUAAACUGCUUUUAUACAGGGAUAAAGUGAGCCACGUGUGGCUUUUUGUAGUACUGUAUGAAUAAUGACCCGGCUAUUCCGUGCCAGCAGCCGCGGUAAUACGGAAAGUUCCGGCGUUAUCCCGAUUUAAUUUGGGUUUUAAAAGGAAGAGCAGCUGGCGUUUAAUCCUGCUUGUUGAAAUGACUCGGUUCACCUGCAUGCGAAUCCCGCGCGCAACUGGAAUGCCUCGCGAGUUGGGAUACGUAAAUCGGGACGGAUCUCCGUCGUCGA